rnacentral:rRNA from 1 species
ACAUCGCUCUUUGAAAAUUUUAUAUAAAGAGUCGAACCUGCCCAGUGAAUAAUUUUAACGGCCGCAGUACCCUGACUGUGCAAAGGUAGCAUAAUCACUUGCCUUAUAAUUGAAGGCUAGUAUGAAUGGUUUGACAAGAGUAAAGCUGUCUCUAUAGAAUUUAUUAGAAUUUGGUGUUUAGGUGAAGAAACUUAAAUAGAAUUGAAAGACAAGAAGACCCUAUCGAGCUUUAAAAUAAAAUUUUUAAAAUAUUUAGUUCUAAAUUUAUUUUAAAAAUAUUUUUUUUGGUUGGGGCGACUGAGGAACAAUAGAAGCUUCCUUACUAAAAGUAGGCUGUUAGUUUUGAUCCAAUAAAUUGAUUACAAGAAAUAGUUACCGUAGGGAUAACAGCAUAAUCUUUUUUGAGAGUUCUUAUCGAAAAAAUGGUUUGUGACCUCGAUGUUGGACUAGGAUAUCCUGAGGGUG